GGAAGCAAAAGUCGUAACAAGGUCUCCGUUGGUGAACCAGCGGAGGGAUCAUUACCGAGUUAUCAACUCCCAAACCCCUGUGAACAUACCCAACGUUGCUUCGGCGGGACCGCCCCGGCGCCCUCGGCGUCCCGGAACCAGGCGCCCGCCGGAGGACCCAAACUCUUGUUUAAACCAUAGUGGCAUAUUCUGAGUCUCACAAGAAAAAUGAAUCAAAACUUUCAACAACGGAUCUCUUGGUUCUG
rnacentral:misc_RNA from 1 species